UACGUAGGGUGCAAGCGUUAUCCGGAAUUAUUGGGCGUAAAGAGCUCGUAGGCGGUUUGUCGCGUCUGCUGUGAAAACUAGAGGCUCAACCUCCAGCCUGCAGUGGGUACGGGCAGACUAGAGUGCGGUAGGGGAGAUUGGAAUUCCUGGUGUAGCGGUGGAAUGCGCAGAUAUCAGGAGGAACACCGGUGGCGAAGGCGGGUCUCUGGGCCGAUAUUGACGCUGAGGAGCGAAAGCGUGGGGAGCGAACAGG
rnacentral:rRNA from 1 species